AGUGAACGCUGGCGGUAGGCCUAACACAUGCAAGUCGAACGGCAGCACAGGAGAGCUUGCUCUCUGGGUGGCGAGUGGCGGACGGGUGAGGAAUACAUCGGAAUCUACUCUGUCGUGGGGGAUAACGUAGGGAAACUUACGCUAAUACCGCAUACGACCUACGGGUGAAAGCAGGGGACCUUCGGGCCUUGCGCGAUGGAAUGAGCCGAUGUCGGAUUAGCUAGUUGGCGGGGUAAAGGCCCACCAAGGCGACGAUCCGUAGCUGGUCUGAGAGGGUGAUCAGCCACACUGGAACUGAGACACGGUCCAGACUCCUACGGGAGGCAGCAGUGGGGAAUAUUGGACAAUGGGCGCAAGCCUGAUCCAGCCAUACCGCGUGGGUGAAGAAGGCCUUCGGGUUGUAAAGCCCUUUUGUUGGGAAAGAAGUCCAGCUGGCUAAUACCCGGUUGGGAUGACGGUACCCAAAGAAUAAGCACCGGCUAACUUCGUGCCAGCCGCCGCCGUAA
rnacentral:rRNA from 1 species